rnacentral:rRNA from 1 species
ACGCGGAAGAAACCUUACCUACCCUUGACAUGUACGGAAUCCUGCCGAGAGGUGGGAGUGCCCGAAAGGGAGCCGUAACACAGGUGCUGCAUGGCUGUCGUCAGCUCGUGUCGUGAGAUGUUGGGUUAAGUCCCGCAACGAGCGCAACCCUUGUCCCUAGUUGCUACGCAAGAGCACUCCAGGGAGACUGCCGGUGACAAACCGGAGGAAGGUGGGGAUGACGUCAAGUCCUCAUGGCCCUUAUGGGUAGGGCUUCACACGUCAUACAAUGGUCGGAACAGAGGGUUGCCAAGCCGCGAGGUGGAGCCAAUCCCAGAAAACCGAUCGUAGUCCGGAUCGCAGUCUGCAACUCGACUGCGUGAAGCUGGAAUCGCUAGUAAUCGCGGAUCAGCAUGCCGCGGGAAUACG